GCGAGCAACACUCGCUGGUAUAUAAAGACAUGAACAUCGUCAUUUCAGGACAGUCAACGUCAAGCAGCCGCCUUUACUAUCAUUCUCCAAGCAAAAUGAAAAUCCUGAUCCUGAUUUUGGCAGUGGUGAUGGCCCUGGCGGCCCUGAUGGGAUCAACUAGAGCCAUGCCUGAACCCUACGCCGUGGCAGACCCCGACCCACAAUUUCGUAGAUUCGGGGGUUUCCAUCGCGGUUUCGGCCACCGUCGUCAUUUCUUUGGUUAAUGUUUACCAGGGCCUGUUAUUCCUCGAGGACAAAUCAACCAAGAGCACAGAAGUGUUGUGACCAGAAACAAAACAGGAUUAACCCCACUAAAGCUUUAUCCGGUAAUGACAACUGGGAAUACCAAUCUGUGAACUGAAAAGAAGGAAGAACGCUAACAAGCUACUGGAGGUAUUCCCGUACAUCAACCCUUAACAUCUAGUACUUUCAACAUCUUACAUCUUGGAAAUCCAGUCCCUUUCAACAUGGUUUUUGACUAGUGAGAAAUUGGCUGUUAAUUGUUUAAAGUAUUGAGACAUAAUGCUUCAGAAAUAAAUAUAUUUUUUUGA